rnacentral:rRNA from 1 species
AUUGACCGCUGGGGGCAGGCCUAACACAUGCAAGUCGAGCGGCUGAAGGGAGCUUGCUCCUGGAUUCAGCGGCGGACGGGUGAGUAAUGCCUAGGAAUCUGCCUGGUAGUGGGGGAUAACGUCCGGAAACGAGCGCUAAUACCGCAUACGUCCUGAGGGAGAAAGUGGGGGAUCUUCGGACCUCACGCUAUCAGAUGAGCCUAGGUCGGAUUAGCUAGUUGGUGGGGUAAAGGCCUACCAAGGCGACGAUCCGUAACUGGUCUGAGAGGAUGAUCAGUCACACUGGAACUGAGACACGGUCCAGACUCCUACGGGAGGCAGCAGUGGGGAAUAUUGGACAAUGGGCGAAAGCCUGAUCCAGCCAUGCCGCGUGUGUGAAGAAGGUCUUCGGAUUGUAAAGCACUUUAAGUUGGGAGGAAGGGCAGUAAGUUAAUACCUUGCUGUUUUGACGUUACCAACAGAAUAAGCACCGGCUAACUUCGUGCCAGCAGCCGCGGUAAUACGAAGGGUGCAAGCGUUAAUCGGAAUUACUGGGCGUAAAGCGCGCGUAGGUGGUUCAGCAAGUUGGAUGUGAAAUCCCCGGGCUCAACCUGGGAACUGCAUCCAAAACUACUGAGCUAGAGUACGGUAGAGGGUGGUGGAAUUUCCUGUGUAGCGGUGAAAUGCGUAGAUAUAGGAAGGAACACCAGUGGCGAAGGCGACCACCUGGACUGAUACUGACACUGAGGUGCGAAAGCGUGGGGAGCAAACAGGAUUAGAUACCCUGGUAGUCCACGCCGUAAACGAUGUCGACUAGCCGUUGGGAUCCUUGAGAUCUUAGUGGCGCAGCUAACGCGAUAAGUCGACCGCCUGGGGAUACGGCCGCAAGG